UAGGCUGCAACUCGCCUACAUGAAGCUGGAAUUGCUAGUAAUCACAGGUCAGCAUACUGUGGUGAAUACGUUCCCGGGCCUUGUACACACCGCCCGUCACACCAUGAGAGUUGAGAAUACCCGAAGUCCAUGUCAAAGUGGCCGAAGGUAGGCUUGAUGAUUGGGGUGAAGUCGUAACAAGGUAUC
rnacentral:rRNA from 1 species